GGUACUCAUUCUUUCUGUCUCAUAUGCACAUAGCGCAUGAGUUGGUUUUUCUUCCUCCUCUUGGCUUGAGCAUUUGUAGCGUCAUUUAAUAAAUUUCUAUAUGACAGGAUAUCUUGAACUGGCUAUUUACUUUUACAGUCUGUCAGAUAAGAGUGCAUUUUGAUGUGUUGCUCAGGUUUAGAUUCUGGUUACCAUUAUUUGCAUCUAUUAUUGCAGAUAUAUGACCCAACGAAGAAAUGGGAACGUUAUACUAUCCACGGGGAUUGAUCUGAGGCUGCCAUAUGGUUUGCAUUUGCUGAAUUUACCUUUUAAUUGAUCAUCAGUUGAGCAUCUGCACUCCUUGGUGUUUCAACGUUUUACAGACUAGGACAAUUAGUCCACACAGACUUUGAACGUGUUUGUCUUGUCAAAUACGCUCUAAUUUAUUUUUGUCUUAUCUACUUGUUUGAUAGUUAGCUUAUUUUAUUAGAUGCAUAAGGCAUCUUUAUAGCAUGUAUUGCAUCUUUAUCAUUGCUUAUUUGAUAGUUAGCUUAUUUCUAAAUAUGAUCAUGAAACUUUGUCCGUUUCUUAUCUUUAAGUUGUAUUAUCGAGCUUAAAGAAUGGUCUUAUUUUAACAAGAUAUCAAAGUAAAGGUUAGACUAACAUUGUCGGGAAUACUUGGAUUGUAAGACCCUUGUAAGCCAGAAGUUGAAACAGCUCUUGAAUCCUCUGCAAGAAAGCUGGAGUGAAGAUCAAGAUUAUGAUCACAUGAUUUAAUCUGGACACAGCUAGGGCUAACGGUCCAUCUCCAAUUCCCUUUUCGCGGCUCUCAAGUUCUUCCAAUAGUUUGAAGUUCCUAGGAACUGCUCGCAUAGAUCAGAACAACAAUGCAGCAAGAUGCAAUUAAAUAUACAGAGAAUAUGCUAGAGCAUGGUACCUACCAGAGUUCCGAGGAAUUUCGGGCUAUUGGAUGAUCUUGAGAGAGAUGAAAAUGGAAUUGGAGAUGGAACCUUAGCUUUGGCCCUCGCUGUUUGAGCACAUUAUCUCAUGUGAUAAUCUUGAUCUUCAGUCCAGUUUUCUUGCAGAGCAUUCACUACAAGGGUCUUUCAAUCCAAGUGUUCCCAACUAUGUUAGUCCAGACUCUUGAAGCUUUUCAAUGUUUCCAUUAACCUGCCCGUUGGAACUCUUUUGAGCAAAGGCAAUGAUUCGCAAACAUUUGGUAUCCAUUGUAUGAUAGUGGUAUCCUUUAAAAGCUUCAAGGACAAAGGAAACAAAACAUUUUUGAUGUAGGUAUAUGCCACGCUUGAGAUCAGUUUCAAGAUGUGCAGCGAGUUCUUUGACGUAUCCAAAUUGGUUGAGAGAAUCGAAUCUUUUGGAACUACAAAAUAUAUUAAUAAAUGAUAAUUACAAUAAAUUUAUUGUCCGUUUUGGUCUUUGUAUGAGGUUUUUGGGAGACUAACAUCAAGAUAAUUACAGUAAGUGUGCCCUACCAUGUCACUCACUGAGUACUUUGGUAGUUUGGGAUCAACCUUGGGAUAUGGUUAGUGAUAAUCUCUAUCGUUAAAAGAUAACUUUUAAUAUAUUUUUUAUAACAUUUUUUUAAUUGACUCAUACCAUUUCUAGUAUUUAUAUUUUUCUUCGUAUAAGUGUCAUUCUAACUAGUAUUUUGGACGGUUAUCUAUCAUUUCUUAACUUUUUAGUGGUAUAUGAUAUCAUAUUUAUAAAUGUUGUUAUAUUUUCAAAUAAUUAAAGAAUAUUAUUGCAAUGUACAAAGAAUAUAAAUGUUGUACUUUUUAAUUAGCAUGUGGUGAAUUUGUAAAAUAAUGAAUAAGAAGAUAUAAUGUUAUUUUUGUUUGAAGUUUGGUAUUUUGAUUUUUUUCUCUCGGCUUCCUUGUUUUUUCCUGGUCCUUUCUAGGAAAGUGUUGACUAAAACUAUUAAAAUUCCAAGAAAAUUAUGCAAAAGCAUUCGUAUAAAUUAUUGAAAUCAUAAAUUAUGUUAAAUAAAGUAACUAAAUUGUAAUUUAGUAAUCAUUGCAAAAAUCACUUAUAAAUAUGAUGCUUAUAAAUAGUUUGAAGGUAUGAAUAUAUGAAAUUUUAACAUAUUGUUAAAAAUAUAUGAAAUGUAUUUUUUUAAUAUUAUUUUUGUAUAAUAGGUAAAGUUGAAUAGUGAUGGAUUCGAAUAUUAUAUUUAUGAUAUCUGUAUUUAGUUAACUCUAAAUAAAUUUUAAUUUUAAUUAUUAUUCUUUAGGUUUUAUGAUAUAAUUAUAAUAAUUAUUAUUUAAGUUAUUUAAAUGACUUACUGUUUAUCUUCUUAAUAACUGGACCAUGUAUGAAUUUUUGGACAUAUCAUGCAUUUUUUAUUUUUAUAAAACAAUUUAAUAUAUUUAGAUAUAAAUUUAAUUUAAUUUAUAUGAUCUGGACCAACCCGUUUUUUUAUAAAAUAAUUUACUUUAUCUUGGAAUUUUCUUAAAAUUAAAUCAAUAACAAUUGAUUAAUUCAAAUUUUAUUCUCUCUUAAAUUUAAUCAUGCCGAAAUUACUCACAGUAAAUAAAUAUUAACAUAGAUUUAUCAUUGUGUGUGUACAAUAUAGAAAUAGACUAAUGGUAUUAAAAAUUAUUUUGUAAAGGUGAGCCAAAUUAAAGUGAAGAAUAUUGGUUAUUGAAUAAUCACUAAAAAAAUUUACGGUGGCAAUUAGUUACGUAAUAAAAGGUACUUAAAUUGGCGUAUUUUUCUAGGCAAUUAAAAUUUUCAGGAUAUUAAAAUUUAUGAUAUUUCAUUAUUAAGAGUCUUUAAAUUCAAAAUAAAAUAAAAUAAAAGACUAAUUACUUUUAGACUAAUUAACUUAUAGGUAUGAAUGAGUAAUUGAUAAUUAAAAAAUAAAUAAAUAAUAAAUAAUAUAUAUAUAUAAUUAAAAUAUUAUUUUAUUAGUUUGUAAAGUGUAGGCUUUUUACUGUUUGUUUGGUAAUGUUAAUCUAUCACGAUCCAAAAUUAUAUUAUUUAAUUGGAGGAAAGGUGAUUGAAAACAAGUAGAAUUAAGUGGAAAGUUUGUAGAGGAUAUAAAUUGAAUUAUGUAAUAAUUUUUUUUUAUUGUUUUAAUUACCAAAAUACUGUUUUCUUGUAUUUUUAAUGAAACAAAUAUUAAUAUUUAUGUAAUAAAAAAUAUAUUAGUUUAUGUAUUUGUGGUUAAAAUUUGAAAGUAAAGAAACAGAAAAUGUAUUUUUAUUAUAUUAUAUAUGGAUCUAUUAAACAAAAAUAUUGCACAAUCAUCUAGAGAUUAAAAAAACAUUUAAACAAAAAUACUGCACAAUCACGUAGAGAUUGAAAAAAACAUUCAAAAAAUGUGUCUUAAUUAAUUAAAAAAAAUAUUUAAAUUCAACUUCACCAUAUAACUAGGUAUCAAAAGUAACUCAUAUAAUUAUCAUUGAUACCCAUUGUAUGUUUAUAAACAAAUAUUUAAUAUAUGUGUCUAUUUUUAUAUACAUUUUUAAGCGAGAUUAUAAGGAGACAAUUCAAACAAAAACACCUGAAUUUAGGAAAAUGAUUUUACUAGAUAAUUUAUAGGAGAAAAAGUGUAUCAUAUUUGAUUAUUAAUAGAACCCAAUCGAUCAUGUUCCAUGUAGGAAUCAAUUACACAUGGUAUCCAUAAUCAAUUUAUCUUCAACCUAAUUAGUCAUUCAUCCAUUAUAAUGCAUAAUAUUAUAGGUUAUUAUGCACAAUCGAUUAUGGAUUAUAAAGACAUCCAUGUUGACUCUUGAAUAAUGAAAAGAUUCAUGACAUCAUAUCUUAUAGGUUUAGACUUACUCAGUAAAUAAUGCAAGAUAUAAUAAAAAAAUCACAAUGAAAAAAUAAUUUAAAAAAGUGUACACAUAAUUUUGAACAUAAGAUUUUAAUUAAUUAUACUAAGGCACAGGUCAAACUCAUUUUGAAGUAUUAAUAGGUAUAUAAUCAAACUUUGAAUUAUUAAUAGUUAUAUAAUUGUAUUAUGCGUAUUAAAUUUUUUAUUACUUUAUGAAAAACAUUAUUCAGCUUGAUUGUAGUUUUGAUAAAUUUGUACUCAAAUCAUGUUAUUGUUGGCCUACGUAAUAAGAUGCAAUUAGUUGAUCAACACAUGUAGCAAUUUUGGAAAAAAUUGAAUGGAGUCAUGACCAAUCAUGGUAUGACUUAUAACCGAUUAUGUAUGAGUGUGACAAUAAUAUAAAUAAAAUUGACAAAGACAAAUUAUAACUUGCAUUACACAUAAAAAUAACCCACAUGUACGAUGAAACAUGCACAUUAAUGAAAUAAAACUAGAGACAAAGUUACCAUUUCACAUACCUGUCAUCCUUUCCUCCACCAUCUCGUUUAUUUUUCAAAAAAUAAAUACAGAUUCAUACUAAAUUGUCUCAUUAGAAAUUAAUUAAUCAAAAUCGAAUAAUCGACAUCGAGAUCAACCUUCAAAAGUUAAAGAUGAAAAUGAUUAAAAUUUACAACGUGUGAGUUCUUGUUCGAAUUCUUGACUUUGGGAUUUUAUUUGUUACACAUUUAUUUCGUUUUUGGAAGUUUGUAUUUUUCUAGUGUUUUUUUAUUUGUUAUUAUCACUUUUCGUCUAUUUUUUUAUUCUUCAUUAUAUACAUAUAAAAUAAUAUCUCUCAUUUCUAAAAGUUACCUGUGCAAGUAACUUCAAAAAUUAGGUGACUUUAAUUGUUAUUUGUUAUGUUAACUUCUUCCAAUAACAAAAUUGUUUGAAAUAAAAUAUAAGGAAUGAAGAAGAUUCUUCCCCAUGAAGAUGUAAAUAUGAAAAUGAGAGUUGUGUUUUAUUUGAUUUGUAUUAGUAAUUUCUUUUUUUUUAUUUUAUCUUGUUAUACUUCUUGUAAACAAUUAUAAAAGAAGCAUAUUUUCGUUCUAAUUGUAAUUUUGUGAAGAUAUAAUUUUGACGAAAGAAAAGUGUGAACAUAGAUUUUGAAUAUUUAAUUUUCUAUUAAAUAUUCAUUCAGUAUUAAUAAUAUAUAUAUUUUUUAAAAAAUAUAAAAUAAUAUAAAAAAUAAAUUAAAAUUAAAAUUAUUAUUUUAUUAGAUGUUUCAAGAGCGUUGAAAAAUUAAAAAGUAUUCAUGUAAUAUUCCCUGCAAAAUAAUAAAGUCCAUUGGCAAUAGUCCGAACCAACAAGAGCAAAAUACACUUAAUUUGUGGCAAAUUCUUCCUACACAUAAUCAUUUUAAACUUACACCCUAUAUAAUUUUAAAUUUUCUAGAAUGCCUUUCGAAUUCUGGAAAUAAAAAUUUGGAAUUAAAAAUAAUAUAUUUCAGAAAAAUAGAACAAAAAUAGAUUAUUGUGUUUUAAAAAUAAAAUUUUGAAAACAAAAAUCAAAAUCCCAUUCCAAAUAAAAAAAAUCCGCAAUAAAAAAAUUCUUUAAAAAAAAAAAAUCUACAACAUAUUCUUGAAAAGGAGUUUCAGGAUUUAUUUUAUAUACACAUCCAUUUUAUCUUAGGAAAAUUUUCUCUUUUCAUAGGGACUAAUUGCCUUAUUUUUCUCUCACUCCUAUAAGCUUAUGAAAAUGUUUGAUAAUUUCUCUUUGUAGCAUCAUAUCAAUUAUAACAUGCACUCAAUCUCCUAUUAAAAAUGAUAAAACUGUCCCUUCCAAUGAUGAAAAUAACUUUAAACGAGGUGUAAAUAAAAAUUAUUUAUAGAACCCUUUAACCAGAAAUAUUCUGGAUUUAAAUUUCCGCAUUUUUAAAUUUCAAUUUUUUAUUCGGAAUGUAUUUUUUAAUUUUGAAAUAUUUAUUAUUCCAGAUUUGAAAUUGUCAGAGUGUUUUGGAGUUAGAAUUGGGUUUUAGUAUUAGUUUGGGCCUACUGUAAAACUGAAGCCCAGCCCAAUAGCGAGGGAACUAUAUAAGCACCUACGGGUUAUGAAAAGAAACAUGUGUUGUGUGGUGUUGUGUAGUUGGUCUUUGAAUUUGAGUUUGAAUUUAGGAGCGAAGAAGAGGAUGUCGGGUACGGGAGACGGGUACGUCGGCGCCGCCCAAGACGCGGUGAGGAUUCGGCUGUUGGAGAAGCAGAGAGAAGCGGAGCGUCGCAAAAUCCAAGAACUCAAAACCAAGUCUGCUUCCGACAAGGGCCAACCCGGUCUCCUUCAAUUCGGUUCCAGCACUUCCGAGGUACCGCGUUCCUUCAAUUUCUAUCUUUUCUUUUCUUCUUUUGGGGUUCUUCUUUUCAAGAUUACAAUCGUCUUUACUUUUCUUGAAUUUCAGAUUCUUGAGACCGCCUUCAAAGUGGAAAAUCAAGGGCAAUUCUCGAUUGUCCUUUGCUGAGGAUAUCGACAGUGAACCCCAAGAGGAGGAGGAGGAGGAACCACGUCAUAGUAAGUGAUGUUUGGAAAUACUGUGAAAAAAGGAUGUUUGAUUUUACACAAAGUUGCUUCCAGUUUUUCACAGUGUAACCGUAGUUUCUGUUAUAAUCAAAAUAAGUUUUGUGUGAUUUUCUUUGCAGUUUAAAAUUUAGAGUUUUUCUUUGUUUAUCAAUGUAGCAUCAUUUUGAUGUGCAUGAGGAUGUACGAACAAUUGCUGAUGCCACUAUAGAGAAGGACGAGGUAUACUUUCUUUCUUCCUAUGUAUUUUACCGAUAUCUUAAAAUUUGGAUUUUCAAGUGAAAGGAAGCAAGUGCGCAUGUAUGACCUUUGGUGGUGUUCUAAUGACUUCUCUUAUGGGUUUUUGCUUAAUUUUUCUUACUGGGGUGAUCUUGUUUCCACCGACAGUCUCAUGCUGGGAAGGUUGUAGAAAGGCACUGGUAUGAAAAGAACAAGCAUAUAUUUCCUGCUUCAAGAUGGGAGGUACUCAUUCUUUCUGUCUCAUAUGCACAUUGCGCAUGAGUUGGAUAUCUUGAACUGGCUAUUUAUUUUUACAGUCUGUCAGAUAAGAGUGCAUUUUGAUGUGUUGCUGAGGUUUAGAUUCUGGUUACCAUUAUUUGCAUCUUUUAUUGCAGAUAUAUGACCCAACGAAGAAAUGGGAACGUUAUACUAUCCACGGGGAUUGAUCUGAGGCUGCCAUAUGGUUUGCAUUUGCUGAAUUUACCUUUUAAUUGAUCAUCAGUUGAGCAUCUGCACUCCUUGGUGUUUCAACGUUUUACAGACUAGGACAAUUAGUCCACACAGAAUUUGAACGUGUUUGUCUUGUCAAAUACGCUCUAAUUUAUUUUUGUCUUAUCCACUUGUUUUGAUAGUUAGCUUAUUUUAUUAGAUGCAUAAGGCAUCGUUAUAGCAUGUAUUGCAUCUUUAUCAUUGCUUAUUUGAUAGUUAGCUUAUUUCUAAAUAUGAUCAUGAAACUUUGUCCGUUUCUUAUCUUUAAGUUGUAUUAUC
rnacentral:lncRNA from 1 species